GAUGAACGCUGACAGAAUGCUUAACACAUGCAAGUCGAUGGGGAAGUGGUGCUUGCACCAUGGCAACCAUGGCGGACGGGUGAGUAACGCGUAAGGGACUUACCUGCAGGACUGGGAUAACAGGGGGAAACUCCUGACAAGACCGGAUAAUGUCAUGGAGCUGCAUGGCUUUAUGACGAAAGGAGACGCCUGCGGAGAGCCUUGCGUCCUAUUAGCUAGUUGGUGAGGUAAUGGCUCACCAAGGCGAAGAUAGGUAGCCGGCCUGAGAGGGUGGACGGCCACAAGGGGACUGAGAUACGGCCCUUACUCCUACGGGAGGCAGCAGUGGGGAAUAUUGGACAAUGGGGGCAACCCUGAUCCAGCAAUUCUGUGUGCACGAAGAAGGUUUUCGGAUUGUAAAGUGCUUUCAGCAGGGAAGAAGUAAGUGACGGUACCUGCAGAAGAAGCGACGGCUAAAUACGUG
rnacentral:rRNA from 1 species